rnacentral:rRNA from 1 species
GGGGUCAGUAGGUUGGUCGUGCCACCGGUACGUACUGGUCUCACUGAUUCCUCCUUCCUGAAGAACCGUAAUGCCAUUAAUUUGGUGUUGCGGGGAAACAGGACUGUUACUUUGAAAAAAUUAGAGUGUUUAAAGCAAGCUAACGCUUGAAUACAUUAGCAUGGGAUAAUGAAAUAGGACGAUCGAUCCUAUUUUGUUGGUUUCUAGGAUUGACGUA